rnacentral:rRNA from 1 species
CCUACGGGCGGCUGCAGUGGGGAAUAUUGGACAAUGGGCGAAAGCCUGAUCCAGCCAUGCCGCGUGUGUGAAGAAGGCCUUCGGGUUGUAAAGCACUUUCAGUGGGGAAGAAAGCCUUGGGGCUAAUACCCUCGAGGAAGGACAUCACCCACAGAAGAAGCACCGGCUAACUCCGUGCCAGCAGCCGCGGUAAUACGGAGGGUGCGAGCGUUAAUCGGAAUUACUGGGCGUAAAGCGCGCGUAGGCGGUCUGAUAAGCCGGUUGUGAAAGCCCCGGGCUCAACCUGGGAACGGCAUCCGGAACUGUCAGGCUAGAGUGCAGGAGAGGAAGGUGGAAUUCCCGGUGUAGCGGUGAAAUGCGUAGAGAUCGGGAGGAAUACCAGUGGCGAAGGCGGCCUUCUGGACUGACACUGACGCUGAGGUGCGAAAGCGUGGGUAGCAAACAGGAUUAGAUACCCGAGUAGUC